GAUGAAGAACGUAGCGAAAUGCGAUAAGUAAUGUGAAUUGCAGAAUUCAGUGAAUCAUCGAAUCUUUGAACGCACCUUGCGCCCUUUGGCUAUUCUGAAGGGCAUGCCUGUUUGAGUAUCAUGAACACCUCAACUCUCAUGGUUCGCCAUGGUGAGCUUGGACUUUGGGGGUCUUGCUGGCCUACGGUCGGCUCCUCUCAAAUGAAUCAGCUUGCCAGUGUUUGGUAGAGUCGCAGGUGUGAUAACUAUCUACGCUUGUGGUUUUCUGCCAGAUAACCUUCAGUGAUGGAGGUUCGCUGGAGCUUAUAAAUGUCUCUCCCCAGUGAGGACAGCUUUUUGAACGUUUGAUCUCAAAUCAGGUAGGACUACCCGCUGAACUUAAGCAUAUCAAUAAGCGGAGGA
rnacentral:misc_RNA from 1 species